AUUAAGAUACAGUUGAGAAAGAAUGAACUGUCUUUCAGCAAGAACAUUGCUAACUGGAAGACUGAAAAUGUGCUUGGCAUAGAACUCAAACAGAUCUGACUGGAAUUUCAAGAAGCUUUAAAACUGAAUACCAGAAAGGACUUUGGUAUCUCUGAUCAGCUCCCAUUCCAAACAACUUGGGAAAAGUUAACCACUCUGCUCCAUGAUCUUUGAUUACUUUGAUUGCUUCUUGUAACAUUGGCCUCUGCACUUGUUUGUGAAAGUGGUUGAUAGCUGCUGGGUCCUUCAAUGACAUCUUCACCUGUUGUGAUGUUAAAGGAAAAUAUUCUGCAGGAGACAUCAACAUUUUACUUAAAGUUUCAUGGUGCUUCAGAACAGUUGCUGGCCAUAACCUUGCUAGGUAACCACUGGAGAAUCCAAGUUCUGCAUCACUAGCUUGGGAUGUAUUCAGAGAUGGGAUGAUAAACUUAUCGAGGAAUUCAAACAAAGACUUGAUUUCAACUUGAAUCAUAAGACUGGAGCUCAGCUUAAUGACAUCUUGCCAAAUAGUCUGGUGGCAAUCUGAUUUUGGCAAUCUUUCAAGGAGACACUCAGCAAGCUGUAAACAAGCUUUUCCAUACUUAAGAUACCACUGGAGAGUUUCAUGAUAAUAUGUCCACCUUGUGUCUAUGAAUGUCUGGGGAAGGGGUGGCUCUUUACUUAGAAUACCAAGAGAAACAUACAUAACUUUGCAUUGGCUUGGACGCUCAUGAUGGAGCCAAGAUAUUUUAUAGAGUAAUUGUAAGACAUGGGGGUUGCUCAUGUCACCCUUGGCCCCAAACCCAGCCUGGCACAUUCUUCUCAGCAUAAUGUUUAGUACAUGUGGGUAGCAUCCUACAAAAAACAUCUCUUUUCCAAAAAUUCUGGCAUUGUUAGCUAAAAGACCAUUUACUUUUCCCUUUUGGGUAGAGGCAUCGUCCCCAACCAACCCUGAAACAUUGGUAAUAUCAUAUUCAUUUUUUACAACAUGGUAAUCUACAUCAGACUGGUGUUUUCCAGACCUGCUUGCUGUUAGGCUGUUUGCAAAGACAUAAGCUCGUGGCUUGCUCUCUAAGGGACACCAGGUGUGAACACCCACUACGUGCCUCUCCUCUCCUCCUUUGUGGGAGUCAUCACUCCAGAGAUGAAAAUCAUACUUGGAAUUUGAAAAGCGCUUGCGUAAAAUUAGUUUGUCAGCUUCACCCAAAAGAACAUUCCAGUCAGAAAGUGUAGUUGGAGAGACAAUGAAGUUUGUUGGGGGUUACAAUUGAACAAAAAAUCAGAUGUAAUGCUACAGGUGUCUUUUGAUAUGAUAACAAAGAUGCAUGUUGCAUGUAUCUGACACAAGCCAUAAACAUCAAGGUCCUUUGGUUGUGUCCAUUGUGACCAUGAGCAAAUGUUGCCCUGUAAUUUCUGUUUUAGCUUUGAAGAAGCAGAUCUUGUCCCCCUUAGCUUGUGUCUGACUUGUUUUUCCUUUUUUUCAGUAGACGUCAGAUUUUUUUGACACUUUUUAAGUUGAGUUUGAAGCCUCAACACGUCCUCUUUCAAUUGGAUGUUCCUUCCUUUUACAAAUACUGAAAUUAUGAAAAGGUGACACAAUAAAAAUUAGUUAAAUGUAACUGAUUUCACAUGAUAGAGUAUUGAAACAGAAUACAAAGUUAAAAUGUCCUACCAGAAAUCUUAUCGACCAGGCAUAUUUAGAAUGUGUAGUUUAAAUUUGGCAAAAACAUUGUUAUCACAAUUGCAAGGUUGAAUAAUUGAAACUAUUGUGUUUCCACGGUGAUCCGUACGCAGAUAAUUUUGUUCACGUUGAUAAAAACUUCUAACACAA
rnacentral:lncRNA from 1 species